CUUGGUGUUGUUAACAUUUAGGACACAAUUUGGGAUUGGGAAGUAAACAAGCUGGGCUUCUGAGCACUCCUGUUGGCUUUCACAUAACCUUUUCACCCAAACGGUGAUCUUCCUAGGCCUUCCUUCAUUCAGACACUUGUUGCUUUAUCUAUGCUUAUUAAGGGGCAUAUAUUAUCGGGUAAUAAUUAAAGAAAAUUAGAAUUAGCUUAUUAGAAGGAGAAUUGAGAAAAGGAGGAUUUGUUAGAUGCAGACAAAUGACAUCAGAAAUGAUAGCUGGUAGUCUGAUAUUUUGGGAAAAUAUAAACCUGAAAAAUUCAUAACUGCAUUUCUCUUGGUAAAUAUAGUCUCUGGAGCACCUACUAUGUGUCAGGUGCUUUUCCAUAAUCAUCUAACUUCAUUCCAUGAUUUAGGCAUCAAUAUUCCCAUUCUAUAGAUGAGCAAAUUCAAGCUGAGAUGUAAAUUGACAAAACCAUCACAGCUAGUAAGUGGCAGUUCCAGAAUUUUCCCAUGGUCUGUCUGACUCCUACGUCAUGAUGUCAUUCUGUUUUACCAUGCCACCUCCUUGUGCUGCAGUGGGUAUCCAUGAGCUUGUGUCUUCCAAGAAAAAAUUAAGUUCUAUGGCUUCAACUUAAGGAAGUAAAAAAGCAACGUGUCUUCAAAGAAUUACCUUGAAAUUAAAAGAUGGAUUUUUUGGUGUCAGGACAUGAACACUUAAGCUAUUUGGAAAACUAGUUAUGUGGAACACCUGAUUCCACAAUGAGGCAAGAUAAAUUCUUUCAACAUAAUCCUGACAUCACAGUUUUAGGAAACUUGACUCCUGGAUUAGAUUUUUCUCAAAUUAAAAAAUUUCCCCAUGAGAUAUAUGUAUUCAUUCAUUCACUCGCUUCAUUUAACAAACGUUGAGUGACUAUUAUGUACACAGAAACACUAUCAUGGCUCUUGAGAAUUCUACCAAAUCAAGAAAUCAAACAAAACAGAAUACAAAAAAAAAAUUAAAAGCUUAAUUUCUGUAUAAUUUGGGCAAAUGCUGCAAUAGCUCUCCUCUUCCUUCAUCUCAUCCUGCUGGUUGCUCCCAGAGCUAUUUUUUUCUAAAACCCUCAUCUGAUGGUGUCACUUCCUGGUUGCAAACCUCUGACUACUGUUGCCUAUUAAGUAACUCUUGGCCCUUCAGAACCUGCCGUCACCUGCCUUUUCUGUCUCCUCUGGAGCUGCCCUCCACCAGAGCUCAGCUAUCCUGAACUGCUCACUCCUCCCCAAAGAUGCCAGGCACUUGCCAUCUCCAAGCCUGUCCUCUUGCUGCUUCCUCCCGGGCGUGUCCUGGGCGUGUCCUGCCCUUUCUCAUUCACCGAGUGAGUCUCUAGUCAUCGUUCAGGAUCCUACUGAAAUGGUGUUCCUCCUCUGCUGCUUUUCCUGACGACCUGCUCCAACCUAGCAGAAAAGAAAAAGAAAGUUCAUCUUCCCAGAGCACUUCAUGUUACAGCAUUUGAUAUAGUAAUAAUGUAAUAUAAAAUUAUUUUCAUCUUUUUCUGACUAGAGUACAAAUCCUUCCAGAAUACAACUGUAUUUUGUUUGUCUUUGUACCUUAGUCCAGGACACUGGCACAUACUUGGCUAUCUAGAAAGGCUGGGUGAAGAGAAUAGAAUAGAAGCGGGGGAGUAGGUAAGUGCUAUGGUAAGAGGGACUAAUUUUUCAGAAAUGGUUGGCGGAGGCUUCCCAGCGGGUUGUCUGUAUGUCAGCCCUGAAGAAUGAGUAGAAUUCAGCAGACAAUAAUGAGCGGGUCUCGGAGGUGAGGAGAGGGUUUCACAGCAGAGAGGGCUGUGUGUCUGAAGACUUGAGAAGGAGUAGCCUGGUUGGACAUUGCAAAUAAACUAGUGUCUUUAGAGUUUAGCAUACGUAAGAAUGGAGCAGAGCAGGCUCAGAGCGUGGGAUGGCUUCGUAUUGUGAUGAGCCUGCAGGUGUGGGGAUUUCAUUCUCCGGUGCAGAUCUUUGGGGAGCCACUGGACUUGUGGCAGUCACACAGGUUGCUGUGGUUGUGUGGGCGAUGAAUGGACUCAGAGAGGCUUAUUGGGAGAUGCUGGCACAGUUGGAAGGAGAGACAAAGGCCUGUCUAAGGCGGGCUGCGGAGAUGCUCACCUGUUCCUGUGACCUCUGGGGCUAUACCGGAAGUGUCCAGCUUAGCCUGCUUCUUACGAUGGAGAAGAAGAACCCAGCAGAACUGCUGAAGAUGAGAACUGAGGAGUGAUCAGAAGAGAUGUUUUGAUUUGGCUGCGCUCUGAUAGUAGCGGCACAGCGGGGAGCACCUGAAGUGAUGAAUAACCUAAUCUCCUAAUCUCAAAAUGGGCACUAGUCACAGCCAGCCUGGGAGAGGCCGGUGGAACAAACCACACUUCACAGCCACGGCCACUAAGAAGAAUGCAACAAAAACAACAACCCAAACAACAACAACAACAACAACAACAACAACAAAAUAACCAGCAGCCCAGCCAGCCACCCUGCCACUGGGCCUUUUAAUAAUAAAGAAAUGAAAUGCACAUCUCUAAUGAAUGCUCUUUCAUCCCCUGUGAUCUCACAGGGCUAGAUUCUAAUCUGAGAGGCACCUUCCACUCUUCUCAGCAAAACUUACAAGACAAAAGGCUAUAAAAAUGAUUGCACUUGCAUUAGUGCUGUUAGGACUCCGGUAUUUAUGAGACAUUAUGUAUGCACAAGAACCCUUGCUAAUUUGCCACGUUUCAUGCACACCUGGAAUGAUCUGCCACACGUAUACAUUUUUUUUCCUUCUUAAUUUCCGAAGAAAGCCUACCACAACAGGAAACUGUUCAUUUUGUAGCAUAAGCCCCAUGUUCUCUAAAGCUGCCUAGGUGUAAUUAAGCAUCUACAUUUACUUCUGCGCGUGGGGAACAAUGGUCUGGCUCCUUGGAGAGGUCAAGCAGGAUUUAUUUUAUUGUGUACAGAGUCAGAGCAAUGAAGGAGGCUGUCAAGAUAGUAACUGGUCAUUCCUCUGCCAGUUAUGUGGCCCUCUCUAUGUAAGAGCAAGGCUGUGUUUUGUCCCCCCUCUGAUUUACUUCCCUUUUUUCAUGGGAUCAUUGCUACAAAACUAUUAGUUAAUACCCUGCUGUAAGGAAAAUAAGUCCUGAGGAAAAUAUGCUAUGCAUGUAUGCCUUCCCUACCCCCAAAUUGCUUGAUUGCAGCAAGCUCACUUUUUGAUUAAUGCAAUUUUGCAUAAGGUAAUAUUACACGAGUGUAUUACUUUUCAGUAAUUAUUCAAUGGAGUUAAUAUGGCAGACUUCUUGAAGAAAAAUUAGAACCGUGGCGUCUCAUUUCUCUAAAUCCCCAGCACUGUUCAGUAGGGUAACAAUAAUAAUUAUGUAUAAAUAAAUAAAUUUCUUUUAUCAAUGUUCACGAGGGCUGGAAAUAACGGGCAGCCUCAUCCCCAAUCAGAACGCUCACGGUUGUACUUUUUAAUUAGCAGUGUUCCGAGGGGCAGAAAUGAUUUUAUGUGCAGUUUUGUUAUGCUGCAGUUGGGGAGAGUGACACAGUGAUUUGUUAUAACAAGGAUCUUUGCAGUUUAAUCAUUGUAUAAAAUUAUGUGUGCUGUUUUGCUUUCGCUUUCCCCUGCACCUUUGGGUUUGAGCCACUCCAAAACGGAGGACAGGCAAGACUCCCUUUCCUAAAGCAAUUUUCUCUCCUCUAGGUCCGAUUUCACGUGAGCAUCAUUUUAAACUCCAGCAAGAUGUGGUUCUGUUUAACUAGCCCUUGCUUACAGGGGUCCCAUGCCUACUCUUAUGUUUCCUUACCAUGAUACAUACUUUGCGGUGCAUUUUUCUCACUAAUCAUGGUUUAGCAAACAAGGAAGGAGAGGGCCGCGUUUUAUGAAACUUUCUGAAGAGUGAUGUUCAGUUUAUUUCAGUCUUUAGUAUACUAGAAUGUACAAUUGCUCUGAAGAUAAAUAAAAGAUUCCGCGGGUGCCACUGGAGAGCAGAGCAGCAUGUCUUUGCCGUUGCUGGAGACUUAUCUGAUUUGGAUUUGUAUACCUCAUGGGGAAUGGCAAAAUAUUGGAACAGACGG
ensembl:lncRNA